UGUCAAUGGAACACAAGGUUAUUUUGUGGUGUAAUCAACUUGUAGUGCAGGUGUCCCACACUUUACUCAGUCUGAUAGACCCUGAAGCAGGUCAACCAUUUUCUGAUACACAAAAAAGACUUGCAGCAUUCACAAAGAUGCUUCAUAGUGGGAUGCCACUGAGUUCUAAUUGGUUGAGACAAUCACUAUUACCUCAACAGGCAACCCAUGAUCCCGUU